rnacentral:rRNA from 1 species
UACAGAGGGUGCAAGCGUUAAUCGGAAUUACUGGGCGUAAAGCGCGCGUAGGUGGUUUGUUAAGUUGGAUGUGAAAUCCCCGGGCUCAACCUGGGAACUGCAUUCAAAACUGACAAGCUAGAGUAUGGUAGAGGGUGGUGGAAUUUCCUGUGUAGCGGUGAAAUGCGUAGAUAUAGGAAGGAACACCAGUGGCGAAGGCGACCACCAGGACUGAUACUGACACUGAGGUGCGAAAGCGUGGGGAGCAAACAGG